UUACAUGGAGAUCAGUUGGUAGAGCAUGAGACUCUUAAUCUCAGGAUCAUGGCGUCAAGCCCCAUGUAGGGCAAAA